AUACGGAGGGUGCAAGCGUUAUCCGGAUUUAUUGGGUUUAAAGGGUCCGCAGGCGGACUUGUAAGUCAGAGGUGAAAGCCGGCAGCUCAACUGUCGAACUGCCUUUGAAACUGCAAGUCUUGAGUGAGGUUGAAGUAGCUAGAAUGAGUAGUGUAGCGGUGAAAUGCUUAGAUAUUACUCAGAAUACCAAUUGCGAAGGCAGGUUACUAAGUCUUAACUGACGCUGAGGGACGAAAGCGUGGGGAGCGAACAGGAUUAGAUACCCUGGUAGUCCACGCCGUAAACGAUGGAUACUGUCUGUUGGAUCGCAAGAUUCAGUGGAUAAGCGAAAGUGAUAAGUAUCCCACCUGGGGAGUACGUUCGCAAGAAUGAA
rnacentral:rRNA from 1 species